AGGCACUCUGAGCCUCAAGCUGCAGCUGCAGGGAGCGGAGGAGACGGUGCUGUGGACCCAGCGGGGCAGCCAGGGCAGCAUGUGGCACCGCGGGCUGGCGACGCUCCCUGCCACGGGGCAGCAGCACUUCCAGCUGUCCUUCGAGGCGCUGCGGGACGGCUUUGUGGGCGACAUGGCGCUGGACGACGUGGCGCUGACGGCGGGUGCCUGCGGGGCCGAGCUCUCCUGCUCCUUCGAGGCGGGCGCCUGCGGGCUGGCGGGCAGUGGGCAGUGGUGGUGGCAGAGCGGCGGC
rnacentral:lncRNA from 1 species